UACGUAGGGGGCAAGCGUUGUCCGGAAUCAUUGGGCGUAAAGAGCGUGUAGGCGGCCCGAUAAGUCCGCUGUGAAAGUCCAGGGCUCAACCCUGGAAUGCCGGUGGAUACUGUCGGGCUCGAAUCCGGAAGAGGUGAGUGGAAUUCCUGGUGUAGCGGUGAAAUGCGUAGAUAUCAGGAGGAACACCGGUGGUGUAGACGGCUCACUGGACCAUAACUGACGCUGAGACACGAAAGCGUGGGUAGCAAACAGG
rnacentral:rRNA from 1 species